ensembl:lncRNA
ACACACACACACACACACACACACACACACAGGGUGUAGAUAGGCAGCUGUCGUCUGUGUGUCCUCAGGGUUUUACUCAACAAUUAAACUUCCUGUUUACCAAACGGCCAAGUGUGUGUGUGUGUGUGUGUGUGUGUGUGUGUGUGUGUGUGUGUCCUCAUCUACUGCGUUUGAUUCAUAAAUAUCAGAUAAAAAUCUGUCUAUCUACCUACCUACCCACCUAUCUAUCUAUCUAUCUAUCUAUCUAUCUAUCUAUCUAUCUAUCUAUCGUCUGAACACAUGCAGACACAGACACAGACACACAUUUCCUGUCAGACAGAUGGAGUCUGAUUGUCUGCAGGUGUGAAGGGCUUCUGUCUGUCUGUCUGUUCUCCAAAACAGGAAGUCGGGGACUCCCAGCGCUGAGGACUUCCUCUCAGAGAGAGACAGUGAGACGCACCGGCCGCAGAGCACACACAGGAAAGAGAGAGAGUGUGACAUUAACACACAGGUGCCAUUUUUAACCCAGAGCUGUAAACACAGGAAAUGACCUCAUCGCCCACCGUUACCAUCAACAUCACAAUGAAAGCGUCUGAGUGAUCUUCUAGCAUCUAUGACAGAGGCUUCCCCAGUAUGAGCUCUAGUCUAAACCUAAAGCACGGAGGAAACGAUGACGUCUGGACCGGCUCUUCAUUAGCGUCUUCCGCUGCUCCAGUUGCUGUGGUUUUCCCGCCGUUGGCUGUGCGUCGCUGGCAGGCCGGUUUUUCCAGGCCUGUGUUUGUGUUUGAGGGAAGAGAAGGCUGUAAUCAGAGUUUCAAAUGAAUGCCGCGAGAGGAAGCGCUGUGUCUUUUCUUAGCUCCAAACGUUACCGCGCUGCAAAAGGGACAAAUUUUGUGGCUCCCCGCGCGGAAGAGACAAGCUCUGGUGUCCCGGCCUGCUGUGUUUGACAUCUGUAACGGGUUUGGAAGGUCCAACCUAGUGCUCUAGUCUCAAGACCUGAUAGUUGAACACAUUUGAGGAACUCAGACUGUUAUAAAGCACAGAAACAAACUCUGAGCUGCUGUAAGUGUUUGCGAUCGCCUGCUUGAGUGAAGUGUUUUGGGACUAACAGGAUUUAAGAGUUGAAAGCUCUAAAAAAGAUAAAUUGAUAAAUGUAUGAUAAAUUUCAGAUAUUAUUCACUGAGAACUCUCCAAUCUCACAUGCACUUGUGUUGUUGUAACCUGGUGCCUUUAUAAGCAUCUUGCAAACAUUAGUUUUUGUGAAUCGUAAACAAAUCCAGCGUUUCAAAAUGUCAGAGAAGAAGAUUUUCAGUAAAGAUUGAAUAAUGACAAUUAGGUCUGAUACUCACGCAAAAUUAUUAUAUGACUUCAGGUGGAUUGACAUAAUCUACAUUACUGUUUGAAUGUUUAUAGGGUCAGUAAAUACAAUAAAUUGAUUAAAAAGUGAUAGUAAAGAUAUUUA